CUGCCAGUAGUCAUAUGCUUGUUUCAAGGACUAAGCCAUGCAAGCCUAAGAGUAACUGAGAUUAUAGGAGGUCUGCGAACGGCUCAUUAUAUCAGAAAUUAUCUACCGGGAAAAUUGCAGUGAAAACUGCUAAAUGGAUAACUUCGCGAAACGCGAAGCUAAUACAUGUACGGCACGUGGUGUUCUCCAUCCAACCGCUAAGGUCACAAGCCUUGGCGGGGAGGGCAUCUCGCGAAUGGUUGGCACAAAGACCGACGCCAGCGAUGGCAGCGUCCAAAAGUGAUGAAUCAAACCAUUCAGCAGAAGCGUGCUUCGGCACGCGUGUCCCGACGAAUUUCUGCCCUAUCAGCUUUUGACGGUAGUGUAGUGGACUACCGUGGCGAUAACGGGUACGGGGAAUUAGGGUUCGAUUCCGGAGAGGGAGCCUGAGAAAUAGCUACCACUUCUACGGAGGGCAGCAGGCGCGUAAAUUGCCCAAUGCCAAAGCUGGUGAGGCAGCGAAGAGAAAUAGCGACUCCGCCUCUAUGAGUGCGGGGAUUGCAAUGGGUGGUAUUUAAAACCACCAACGAGUAACAAUUGGAGGACAAGUCUGGUGCCAGCACCCGCGGUAAUUCCAGCUCCAAUAGCGUAUAUUAACGCUGCUGCUGUUAAAGGGUUCGUAGUUGAAUUCGGAGUUCUCGAGUUUUGGGUACCAUUCCGGUCCCGCACUUCGAAACUCUGUCAUAGAUGGGGACGGAGUCUGGCGGCGGAGCCUCUUCACUGAUGUUCCAACGCCUCUGGAGGAAAACUCCAGAAUUUCGCAUGGAUGCAUGCAUGACCGCCCAUCGUUAUCACUGUGAAGAAAACAGCGUGUUCAAGGCAGCCGCUUGCGGUUGUAUGACAAAGCAUGGAAUGACAAAGCAUCGACCAAUUGGUCCGUCUUUUGUCGGUUUUUACGAUCAAUUUGGAUAAUAUGUUGGCAAAUCACUCCCUUAUUUCGUUCGCGGAAUUUUGGAACUUUGCCGAACACGGGAUUAAUGGGGGUUGUCGGGGGAAAACGUAUCUGAGCGUGAGAGGUGAAAUUCUUAGACCGCUCGGGGACGAACUUAUGCGAAGGCAUUUUCCAAGUAUACCUUCAUCAAUCAAGAACUAAAGUGUGGAGAUCGAAGAUGAUUAGAUACCAUUGUAGUCCACUACUGCAAACGAUGACGCCCAUGGAUCGGAUAGUUUUUGCUUCGAUGGGAUCUUUUCGGCACUGCUCCCCCUUCAACGCGAAAGCUGAGGCUAUGGUCUCAUGGGGGAGUACGUUCGCAAGGCUGAAACUUAAAGAAAUUGACGGAAUGGCACCACCAGGCGUGGAGUGUGCGGUUUAAUUUGACUCAACACGGGGAACCUUACCAGGACAGAACAACGCAAGGAUUGACAGAUUAAUAGUUCUUUCUUAAUUCGUUUGACGGUGGUGCAUGGCCGCUUUUGGUCGGUGAAGUGAUUUGUUUGGUUGAUUCCUUUAACGGACGAGACCCAAUCCGCUUAAUAGGGGCACCAUCUGCCUCACGGCUACGGAAGCACCGGAUUCGUCUUGGUGUUCUCCCAGAUAGUGAUACCCCUUCUUCGCGGCAUUCCGUGCGCCUUAGCACGGUGGCAUUUUGGGCAACAGCAGGUCCGUGAUGCUCCUAAAUGUCCUGGGCCACACGCGCACUACAAUGACAAAGUGAAUGAGUGAAACCUCUUGGUCCUGCUUCGAAAGGAGUGGGAAAACUGAAAAAACUAUGUCGUGCUUGGGAUCGAAGCUUGCAAUUAUUCUUCUUGAACGAGGAAUGCCUAGUAGACGUGCUUCAUCAAAGCACAUUGACUACGUCCCUGCCAUUUGUACACACCGCCCGUCGUUGCUACCGAUGCCAGUUGGAUACAGAUCAACGGACUCCGGCCCUUCGGGGUUUUAGAGGAAGUUGACCCAUGUUUAACUAGUAGAGGAAGCAAAAGUCGUAACAAGGUAGCUGUAGGUGAACCUGCAGAAGGAUC
rnacentral:rRNA from 1 species